rnacentral:rRNA from 1 species
UCCAAUCGAACCCGGAGAUAGCUGGUUCUCCCCGAAAUAGCUUUAGGGCUAGCGUCGGAAAGAACCUUAGUGAAGGUAGAGCACUGAAUGUGUGAUGGCCCCAUCCCGGGGUACUGAAUACAAUCAAACUGCGAAUGUCAUUAAGGAUGUCCGGCAGUCAGACUGUGAGUGAUAAGGUCCAUGGUCAAGAGGGAAACAGCCCAGACCGCCAGUUAAGGUCCCAAAAUACAGGCUAAGUGGAAAAGGAUGUGGGGAUGCCCAGACAACUAGGAGGUUGGCUCAGAAGCAGCCAUCCUUUAAAGAGUGCGUAACAGCUCACUAGUCGAAUGACUCUGCGCCGAUAAUUUACCGGGGCUAAGCAUACUACCGAAGCUAUGGAUCCCAAGGGAUGGUAGGGGAGCGUUCCAUGAACGGAGAAGUACGACCGAAAGGACGUGUGGAGAUCAUGGAAGAGAGAAUGCCGGUGUGAGUAGCGGAACGUGGGUGAGAAUCCCACGCACCGAAAACCCAAGGUUUCCAGAGGAAGGUUCGUCCGCUCUGGGUAAGUCGGGACCUAAGGCGAGGCCGAAAGGCGUAGUCGAUGGACAACAGGUAGAGAUUCCUGUACCCGUAUAUAUGUGAAGGAAUGACGGAGAGAGGAAGCUGCAGCCAGCGGCUGGAAGAGCUGGUGCAAGCGAGAUAUCGGGAUGGCAGGCAAAUCCACCAUCCGAAACGAGAAGGCGUGAAGCGUACGGAAAGCUACGGCGAGUACGGAAGGCAGUGGAGGAACUUCCAAGAAAAGUUUCUAACGUAAAGUAUAUAUGGCCCGUACCGAAAAUGGACACACAUGGGUGAGGAGAGAAUCCUAAGGUGAGCGAGAGAACUAUAGCUAAGGAACUCUGCAAAAUGACUCCGUAACUUAGGGAGAAGGAGUGCUCAUAGAGAUAUGAGCCGCAGUGAAACGGCCCAAGCGACUGUUUACCAAAAACACAGCUCUCUGCUAAGCCGCAAGGCGAAGUAUAGGGGGUGACGCCUGCCCGGUGCUGGAAGGUUAAGGGGAGGGGUUAACGCAAGUGAAGCCCUGAACUGAAGCCCCAGUAAACGGCGGCCGUAACUAUAACGGUCCUAAGGUAGCGAAAUUCCUUGUCGGGUAAGUUCCGACCCGCACGAAUGGUGUAAUGAUCUGGGCACUGUCUCAAUUACCCGCCCGGCGAAAUUGUAGUACCGGUGAAGAUGCCGGUUACCCGCGACAAGACG